rnacentral:rRNA from 1 species
CCUACGGGAGGCAGCAGUGAGGAAUAUUGGUCAAUGGACGAGACUCUGAACCAGCCAAGCAGCGUGAAGGAUGACUGCCCUAUGGGUUGUAAACUUCUUUUAUAUGGGAAUAAAAUGUUCCACGUGUGGGAUUUUGUAUGUACCAUAUGAAUAAUGAUCGGCUAACUCCGUGCCAGCAGCCGCGGUAAUACGGAGGAUCCGAGCGUUAUCCGGAUUCAUUGGGUUUAAAGGGAGCGUAGGUGGAUUGUUAAGUCAGUUGUGAAAGUUUGCGGCUCAACCGUAAAAUUGCAGUUGAAAUUGGAAGUCUUGAGUACAGUAGAGGUGGGCGGAAUUCGUGGUGUAGCGGUGAAAUGCGUAGAUAUCACGAAGAACUCCGAUUGCGAAGGCAGCUCACUGGACUGUAACUGACACUGAGGCUCGAAAGUGUGGGUAUCAAACAGGAUUAGAUACCCUGGUAGUC